GAUGAAGAACGUAGCGAAAUGCGAUAAGUAAUGUGAAUUGCAGAAUUCAGUGAAUCAUCGAAUCUUUGAACGCACAUUGCGCCCCUUGGUAUUCCGAGGGGCAUGCCUGUUCGAGUGUCAUUAUAACCCCUCAAGCUCAGCUUGGUGUUGGGGCCUGCCGCACGGGCAGCCCUUAAAAUCAGUGGCGGUGCCAUCUGGCUCUAAGCGUAGUAAUUCUUCUCGCUAUAGAGUCCCGGUGGAUGCUUGCCAUUAACCCCCAAUUUUCUAUGGUUGACCUCGGAUCAGGUAGGGAUACCCGCUGAACUUAAGCAUAUCAAUAAGCGGAGGA
rnacentral:misc_RNA from 1 species